rnacentral:lncRNA from 1 species
GGAGACUGCAAGAGGGGUUGGGUGUUCACAGGGCCGUCCUCAGAACCAUGGGCCAGUCUCCUCACCCCCACACCUCAUUGUGCUCCAGCUGUCAUCAUUCAACAGUGACCGCAUGUGACCCUGUCAUGUGGAAAAAUGUCCCAAGCAUCACCAACAUGCAAGUGAAAGAGGCCACAAAUCAUUUAACUUAGGAAACCAGGAGGCUUGAGACUGAAGCCAUCCAAUUCUCUCUGACCAAGCCCAAGGUAGGAGACAACCCUGGGCAGAGCAUUGUUUUGGUGUCCUCAGCCAGAGCAGCAUAUCAACACAUGUGUGGCCACCUCCUCCUCUGAACCCCUUCACUAGAAGGAAACCAAGCCUCUGGUGAGACACACCCAUCACAGGGAGCAGGGAUGGAGCCUGGACCCCUGUCCUGCUGUAUGACUCCUGGAACCCACAUGUAGCCUGAACUUCCCGAGAAGAAGGCAGAACUCCCACACCCAGUAUCUUUAAUUUUCCCUUUAAAACUAGAAAAAGGGGGCUGAGAGGAUUCAUCGGGGUGCUUCUCUGGCCAGGCAUCUAGUAUGGAUGGGCUGGCACUGGGGUGGGCAGCAGAGUCUCAGUCCUCUCCCCCACUCCAAAUCCCCCUCCAGGGAAACCCCUGUGUCUCUGCUGCUGUGCUGCCUUGCUGCCAGAGGACAGCCACACCUCAACCCCCAAGCCCUUUGUGGCUGUCCUGACCAUGGGAAAUCUGGUCAUCCCUCAGGGCUGUUUGACACAUCUCUGGGUCUCAUGUUCCUACUGGAUUCUUUGAAUUGCCCAGAGCUCAAGGCUGUAUGCACCCAAGCAGCCAGAACUGAGAUCUGGGGCAGAGUUGGGUCCAAUUGUCACCAUAUUUCUUGUUCUGGGUCCCA